rnacentral:rRNA from 1 species
UACGUAGGGGGCAAGCGUUGUCCGGAUUUAUUGGGCGUAAAGAGCGUGUAGGCGGCCAGGUAGGUCCGCUGUGAAAACUCGAGGCUCAACCUCGAGAUGUCGGCGGAAACCAUCUGGCUAGAGUCCGGAAGAGGAAAGUGGAAUUCCUGGUGUAGCGGUGAAAUGCGCAGAUAUCAGGAAGAACACCCGUGGCGAAGGCGGCUUUCUGGGACGGUACUGACGCUGAGACGCGAAAGCGUGGGGAGCGAACAGG